rnacentral:tRNA from 1 species
GCCCAUGUGGCGGAAUGGUAGACGCAGGGGAUUCAAAAUCCCCCGCCGCGAGGCGUGCCGGUUCGAGUCCGGCCAUGGGUACCA